rnacentral:rRNA from 1 species
GCAUAUCAAUAAGCGGAGGAAAAGAAACCAACAGGGAUUGCCCCAGUAACGGCGAGUGAAGCGGCAACAGCUCAAAUUUGAAAUCUGGCUCUCGGGCCCGAGUUGUAAUUUGUAGAGGAUGCUUUUGGUGAGGUGCCUUCCGAGUUCCCUGGAACGGGACGCCAUAGAGGGUGAGAGCCCCGUCUGGUUGGACGCCGAUCCUCUGUAAAGCUCCUUCGACGAGUCGAGUAGUUUGGGAAUGCUGCUCUAAAUGGGAGGUAUAUGUCUUCUAAAGCUAAAUACCGGCCAGAGACCGAUAGCGCACAAGUAGAGUGAUCGAAAGAUGAAAAGAACUUUGAAAAGAGAGUUAAAAAGUACGUGAAAUUGUUGAAAGGGAAGCGCUUGUGACCAGACUUGGGCUUGGUUGAUCAUCCGGGGUUCUCCCCGGUGCACUCUUCCGGCUCAGGCCAGCAUCAGUUCGCCUCGGGGGAUAAAGGCUUCGGGAAUGUGGCUCUCUCCGGGGAGUGUUAUAGCCCGCUGCGUAAUACCCUGUGGCGGACUGAGGUUCGCGCAUUCGCAAGGAUGCUGGCGUAAUGGUCAUCAGUGACCCGUCUUGAAACACGGACCAAGGAGUCGUCUUCGUAUGCGAGUGUUCGGGUGUCAAACCCCUACGCGAAAUGAAAGUGAACGCAGGUGAGAGCUUCGGCGCAUCAUCGACCGAUCCUGAUGUUAUCGGAUGGAUUUGAGUAAGAGCAUACGGGGCCGGACCCGAAAGAAGGUGAACUAUGCCUGUGUAGGGUGAAGCCAGAGGAAACUCUGGUGGAGGCUCGCAGCGGUUCUGACGUGCAAAUCGAUCGUCAAACAUGGGCAUGGGGGCGAAAGACUAAUCGAACCUUCUAGUAGCUGGUUUCCGCC